UGGGCACAAUGUCUCGUGUGUAAUCCCAGCUCGCAUCUAUAAUUCCAGGCUGAAGCAGGAAGAUCACUUGAGUCCAGAAGUUUUAAGACGAACACAGGCAACAAAGUGAGACCCUUCCCUACAAAAAACAUUCUAAAAACCAAAUAACUAGCCAGGCAUAGUGGCAUAUGCCUGUGGUUUCAGAGGUUAAGGUGGGAGAAUUUCUAAAGCCCAGGACAUUGAAGCUACAGUGAGCUAUGUUGAUACCACUACACUCCAGCCUCAAUGACAGAAAUAAACCCUUUCUCUUAAAAAAUAAAAAUAUAGCACUUUGGGAGGCCGAGGCAGGUGGAUCACGAGGUCAAGAGAUCAAGACCAUCUUGGUCAACAUGGUGAAACCCCGUCUCCACUAAAAAUACAAAAAAUUAGCUGGGCAUGGUGGCACGUGCCUGUAAUCCCAGCUACUCAGGAGGCUGAGGCAGGAGAAUUGCCUGAACCCAGGAGUUGGAGGUUACGGUGAGCCAAGAUUGCGCCAUUGCACUCCAGCCUCGGUAACAAGAGCGAAACUCCAUCUCAAAAAAAAAAUUAAAAAAUAAUAAUAAAAAUAAAAAGGAAAUGCUAGAAAUUGAAACUCUGCAACCAGAAUUUAAAAUGUCCUCAACAGGUUUAUCAGUGAACUGAACACAGUCAAGAACAACAGUCAUUUUGAAGAUACGUCAGUAGAGACUUCCCAAACUACACACAAAGAGAAAAAAUGGGAAAAAGAAGAGAAUAUUCAAGAAUUCUUGUAGCAUGUAGCAUUCACACAAUGGGAAUGCUAGAAAGAGAAGGGAAAAAAAUGCAGGUUCGUCUCCAACUCCUGACCUCAAGGGAUCCUUCUGCCUCAGCCUUUCAAAGCACUGGGAUGUCAGGUGUGAGCCACCACUCCUGGCCACAUAUGCUUCUCUCCAGAACCUUGAACAUGUCAAGUCUUCUCAUUUUUGGAAGUCACACACUUUUCACUGUCUGGAGAACCAGGAAUCCAAAUGUCAGAGCCCUAGUAUUUCCAAUACUAGGCUCUAGUAUUUUCUAGUAUUUCCAAUGUGCUUCUUCAAGUGCAAAAGGAUCAAGGCUUGGAAGAGGCAUUCACCUUACUUGGUCAUCCAGCUCUGGAGACAAUGAAGAUAGUCCCAGCUCACCUCCAUUUAGAUGGCAAGCCACUUCCCUAGAAAGCACAGGGGUGUUGGAGCGAAGAACGUGCCUUGUAACCACAACCAAUGAAGCCACACGACAGCAUGGCAGGGCCUUCACUGAAGACAAAAGUAGCUGUUGACUUGGCAUUUAUUUCUGUGUAAGCAUUUGAAAAACACAGACCCAAAAGGAAGCACCUGUGUGGCAGUCCCAUAUUUGUACCCAAGAAGUUCUCAUACAUGUGGUACAGGCUUUGGGGUCAGAUAGAUCUGGGAUUAUAUCCCAACACUUCCUCCUUCUAGAGUUUGGAAAGGGGCAAGUUCCUUCGCUUCCCUGAACCUCAGAUUUCUCAUCUAUCAAGUGGAAACAAUGCUGCUUACCUGGUGGGGUCACUGUGAGGACUGGAGAGGGAGCUGAGGGCCUGGCAUGGCAGAGAUUGGCAAGGAGUGGGUGCUUGGUGAGGAAUAGCCACAUGCAAAGGAGAAGCAGCCAUCCCUGC
ensembl:lncRNA